UGGGGAAUUUUGGACAAUGGACGCAAGUCUGAUCCAGCCAUGCCGCGUGCGGGAAGAAGGCCUUCGGGUUGUAGACUGCUUUUGUACGGAGCGAAAAGGUCUGCCCUAAUACGGUGGGCUCAUGACGGUACCGUAAGAAUAAGCACCGGCUAACUACGUGCCAGCAGCCGCGGUAAUACGUAGGGUGCGAGCGUUAAUCGGAAUUACUGGGCGUAAAGCGUGCGCAGGCGGUUAUAUAAGACAGAGGUGAAAUCCCCGGGCUCAACCUGGGAACUGCCUUUGUGACUGCAUAACUAGAGUACGGUAGAGGGGGAUGGAAUUCCGCGUGUAGCAGUGAAAUGCGUAGAUAUGCGGAGGAACACCGAUGGCGAAGGCACUCCCCUGGACCUGUACUGACGCUCAUGCACGAAAGCGUGGGGAGCAAACA
rnacentral:rRNA from 1 species